rnacentral:rRNA from 1 species
UGCAAGUCGAACGAUAGUCGCAAGACUAUAGUGGCGCACGGGUGAGUAACACGUAGCUUACCUCCCUCUCAGCGCGGGAUAACGACUCGAAAGAGUUGCUAAUACCGCAUAAGCUCACGGUUUCUAGAGGAUUGUGAGAAAAGGCUUCGGUCACUGAGAGACGGGGCUGCGGCCCAUCAGCUAGUUGGUGAGGUAAAGGCUUACCAAGGCGACGACGGGUAGGGGACCUGAGAGGGUGACCCCCCACACUGGGACUGAGACACGGCCCAGACUCCUACGGGAGGCAGCAGUGAGGAAUAUUGCACAAUGGGCGCAAGCCUGAUGCAGCGACGCCGCGUGGGUGAUGAAGGUCUUCGGAUCGUAAAGCCCUUUUCUGCGUGACGAGACAGGACGGUAGCGCAGGAAUAAGUCUCGGCUAACUACGUGCCAGCAGCCGCGGUAAAACGUAGGAGACAAACGUUAUCCGGAGUUACUGGGCGUAAAGGGCGUGUAGGCGGUAUGUUAAGUCUGGCGUGAAAGCUCUCGGCUAAACCGGGAGAGGUCGUUGGAGACUGGCAAACUAGAGGAUGGUAGAGGCGUGUGGAAUUCCGGGUGUAGUGGUGAAAUGCGUAGAGAUCCGGAGGAACACCAGUGGCGAAGGCGACACGCUGGGCCAUACCUGACGCUAAAGCGCGACAGCAUGGGGAGCAAACGGGAUUAGAAACCCCGGUAGUCCAUGCCGUAAACGAUGCCAGCUAGAUGUUCACGUCUCGCAAGAGACUGGGGUAUCGAAGCAAACGCGAUAAGCUGGGCGCCUGGGGAGUACGGUCGCAAGGCUAAAACUCAAAGGAAUUGACGGGGGCCCCCCCAAGCAGCGGAGCGUGUGGUUUAAUUCGAGGCUACCCGAAAAACCUUACCUGGGUUUGACAUAGCGGGGGUAGUGAACUG